UACGUGUCAUGUUAAGACAUAUGUGUUAUGCUAUGCUUAAACAAAAAUUAUUCCACAUGCAACGGGACGGAGUACUUCAGUAUAACCCUAAUCCCAACUCUAACAUCUCGAUUUAUUUCAACACUUAUGUCUCAACUAACCUUAACUCUAACAUCUCAAACCUCUCAUUCCAAUAGGACUGGCGCCCAGAGAGCAAAACUCGACCAGGGACCUUACCUC
rnacentral:lncRNA from 1 species